rnacentral:rRNA from 1 species
UACAGAGGUCUCAAGCGUUGUUCGGAUUCAUUGGGCGUAAAGGGCGCGUAGGCGGCGCGGUAAGUCGGGUGUGAAAUCUCGGGGCUUAACUCCGAAACUGCAUUCGAUACUGCCGUGCUUGAGGACUGGAGAGGAGACUGGAAUUUACGGUGUAGCGGUGAAAUGCGUAGAUAUCGGAAGGAAGACCAGUGGCGAAGGCGGGUCUCUGGACAGUUCCUGACGCUGAGGCACGAAGGUCAGGGGAGCAAACGGG